UCUCUUUCUCUUUCUUUCAGAAACGGUGAGAAAAAGAGACGUCGCCUUGUUUUUUUUCUUCAUCACCACCAGUUAGAGAUGUUAGAGAAAAAAUUGUAAACAGAGAGAUGUUAGGAAAAAAUAUGAAUAAAUUUCUGAUUAGGGUUCUCGUGUUCUUGGAUUUUUUUUUUAAAUUAGGGUUCUUUUGUUCUUUGAGUUGAUUGAAGAGCUUCCUGAUUCUGUGUAUUUAAUCUUUUUUUUUCUUUUCUGAUUUGAUUAAAUUGAUCCAAUUUAAGAUAUGGGUUUGUAUUAAUUUGUGUGUGAAUGUUUGUUUUGAAACCUGAAUUGAAUCAAUUGUUUAAUUAGGGUUUGUACGAUUCAAUUUGAGGAUUUCCCUGAAUUAGGGUUCUUGAGAUAUUUAGUUAGUCUGGAUACAAUGAAGUGGAGAGCUUCAAAAUGGGUUCCUGAAUUCUCAAAGUUCGACAGAGAAGAUAGCGUUGCUAAUUGAGUUACAGAAGAAGAAUAAGUGGAUUUGAAUGGAAGUUUCAGAGAAAGAGAGAAAUUGAACAUGGUCUUGAUGGGUUUUGUUUGAAUUCUAUGAUGAAGAUUACAGAGAAGGUGGUAGUGUUGUACAGGUUCAAACCCUAUUUUAAAUUUGCUGGUGUUUGAAUCUGCGAUGGUUGUGGAGAGAAUUCAUGGAGCUACAGAUUUUGUUGUGACUGAAGGAACUAAUAGAUGUAUGCCUGGGUUAUGUGAUCUGGUAAUUGGUGCAGGAAAUUGAAGAUUAAGAUGGAGUAUGAGAUUUUGGAUGAUGUUUAUUUGUGUUGGUUGUGAGCUGAAUAUGGAAGUGCUGAUAAUGGUUAUGUUGUGCAAACUGGUUAUGAUGAACUGUGUAGAUGGGGGUUGCAGACUCAGGUUAAUGGUAGAUGUUGGAACUGAAACAACUAAAGCAUGGAUCUGAAGCUGCAAUUGAGAUGAAUUUAGAGUUUGUCGUUGAAUAGAGAAGAAUCCGAGAGCAACAAUUGAGAUGGGAUUUCAGAGAAGAAGGAAUUGAUUUGGCUCCAGUGGUUGUGUGCUUAAAAUGCAGGAGAAUAUGUAGUGAUGGAGUUGAAGUAGUGGAUGUUGUGGGUUGCUGCUUUAGGAAUAUGUAGGUGAUUGUAUGGAGAUGUGCACAUAUCUGUAUGGAUGCUGAUAUGAGAUGAUAUUGAACCUGCAAUUCAUUGCAGUGAUGGAAGGAUGUUGUUGUAGGAGUCAGUGUUAAUGCUGGACAGAACUUGAGGAUGAGAAAGAGUAAGAGCAUGGUAUUGAUGGUAUGAAACUUGGGUUUGGUUGUCACUCUUUACAGUGGUAGUUUGAUGAACUCGGGUGAUUGAGCUGGGGGUCAUUUACAACUAAAUGUAUGUUAGGACAGGGUCUUGGCAGUGGCAGGUAUGAGUUGAAUAGUGUUACAAAGAAGCAAGUUUUGGCAGUAGUUUUGAUUCAGUUAUACGGCUAAGUAUGAUAUGUAUUUUUGAUUGAGUGUAAGAAAUAUAUUGAAUUAGUGGUAGUGGUUUUGUAAGUUACAAAGAUAAUGGAAGUGGUAGUAAUAUUGCAUGUA